UUGAACGCUGGCGGCAGGCCUAACACCUGCCAGUCGAACGGUAACAGGAAGAAGCUUGCUUCUUUGCUGACGAGUGGCGGCCGGGUGAGUAAUGUCUGGGAAACUGCCUGAUGGAGGGGGAUAACUACUGGAAACGGUAGCUAAUACCGCAUAACGUCGCAAGACCAAAGAGGGGGACCUUCGGGCCUCUUGCCAUCGGAUGUGCCCAGAUGGGAUUAGCUAGUAGGUGGGGUAACGGCUCACCUAGGCGACGAUCCCUAGCUGGUCUGAGAGGAUGACCAGCCACACUGGAACUGAGACACGGUCCAGACUCCUACGGGAGGCAGCAGUGGGGAAUAUUGCACAAUGGGCGCAAGCCUGAUGCAGCCAUGCCGCGUGUAUGAAGAAGGCCUUCGGGUUGUAAAGUACUUUCAGCGGGGAGGAAGGGAGUAAAGUUAAUACCUUUGCUCAUUGACGUUACCCGCAGAAGAAGCACCGGCUAACUCCGUG
rnacentral:rRNA from 1 species